rnacentral:rRNA from 1 species
GACGACGCUGGGCGGCGUGGAUUAGGCAUGCAAGUCGAACGGUAUCAUCCUUUCGGGGGUGAGAGAGUGGCGAACUGGUGAGUAACACGUAGGUUAUCUACCCUCAAGACGGGGACAACCCAGGGAAACUUGGGCUAAUACCGGAUGUGAGCAACUUUUAGUUGUUUGAAAGGUGGCGUAAGCUGUCGCUUGGGGAUGAGCCUGCGUCCUAUUAGUUAGUUGGUGAGGUAACGGCUCACCUAGGCAAUGAUAGGUAGGCGGCCUUAACGGGUGGUCGCCCACACUGGGAUUGAGAUACGGCCCAGACUCCUACGGGAGGCAGCAGUCGAGAAUAGUCUACAAUGGUCGGAAGACUGUUAGUGCGACGCCGCGUGAACGAUGAAUCCCUUCGGGGUGUAAAGUUCUUUUAUAUGUGAGCAGUGCUUCUUAUAUUAACAGUAUGGGGAGAGAGAUAUUAGCAUAUGAAUAAGCAACGGCUAACUCCGUG